rnacentral:rRNA from 1 species
AAUUGAAGAGUUUGAUCAUGGCUCAGAUUGAACGCUGGCGGCAGGCUUAACACAUGCAAGUCGAACGGUAGCACAUAGGAGUUUGCUCCUUGGGUGACGAGUGGCGGACGGGUGAGUAAUGCUUGGGAAUCUGGCUUAUGGAGGGGGAUAACUACUGGAAACGGUAGCUAAUACCGCGUAAUGUCUUAGGACUAAAGGGUGGGACCAUUUGGCCACCUGCCAUAAGAUGAGCCCAAGUGGGAUUAGGUAGUUGGUGAGGUAAAGGCUCACCAAGCCCGCGAUCUCUAGCUGGUCUGAGAGGAUGACCAGCCACACUGGAACUGAGACACGGUCCAGACUCCUACGGGAGGCAGCAGUGGGGAAUAUUGCACAAUGGGGGGAACCCUGAUGCAGCCAUGCCGCGUGAAUGAAGAAGGCCUUCGGGUUGUAAAGUUCUUUCGGUGACGAGGAAGGCGAUUGUUUUAAUAGAACAGUCGAUUGACGUUAAUCACAGAAGAAGCACCGGCUAACUCCGUGCCAGCAGCCGCGGUAAUACGGGGGGUGCGAGCGUUAAUCGGAAUAACUGGGCGUAAAGGGCACGCAGGCGGUUGUUUAAGUGAGGUGUGAAAGCCCCGGGCUUAACCUGGGAAUUGCAUUUCAGACUGGACAACUAGAGUACUUUAGGGAGGGGUAGAAUUCCACGUGUAGCGGUGAAAUGCGUAGAGAUGUGGAGGAAUACCGAAGGCGAAGGCAGCCCCUUGGGAAUGUACUGACGCUCAUGUGCGAAAGCGUGGGGAGCAAACAGGAUUAGAUACCCUGGUAGUCCACGCCGUAAACGCUGUCGAUUUGGGGAUU